rnacentral:rRNA from 1 species
UGGGGAAUCUUAGACAAUGGGGGAAACCCUGAUCUAGCCAUGCCGCGUGAGUGAUGAAGGCCUUAGGGUCGUAAAGCUCUUUCGCUGGGGAAGAUAAUGACGGUACCCAGUAAAGAAACCCCGGCUAACUCCGUGCCAGCAGCCGCGGUAAUACGGAGGGGGUUAGCGUUGUUCGGAAUUACUGGGCGUAAAGCGCGCGUAGGCGGACAUUUAAGUCAGGGGUAAAAUCCUGCGGCUCAACCGCAGAACUGCCUUUGAUACUGGGUGUCUUGAGGUCGAGAGAGGUGAGUGGAAUUCCGAGUGUAGAGGUGAAAUUCGUAGAUAUUCGGAGGAACACCAGUGGCGAAGGCGGCUCACUGGCUCGAUACUGACGCUGAGGUGCGAAAGCGUGGGGAGCAAACA